GCUCAGUUGGUUAAGGGUCCAACUUCAGGUCAGGUCAUGAUCCUGGGGUUUGUGGGUUCGAGCCCCACAUUGGGCU
rnacentral:tRNA from 1 species